CGAUAAUAUUCCUCGAUGACAAUAUUCCUCCUUUCGAGAACACUGCUAGUGAUUUAAAACAACAACAAUAACAACAACAACAACAAGUCUCGACCAUUCACGAUACUAAUCAGAUCAUACGAGUAUCAAGCAGUCAAGAACUAGAGCAUCUCUCUCUCACUGUUAAAAUCAAUGGAAGGAGACCGAGAGGAAGACCUUGACAAAAAUUUAUGGAUGGAUUGGUGAGAAUGACUGGAAGAAGAAUGUCUGCAGCUCAGUUGCUGCAGAGAGCCAGAGAUAGAGAGGAAUGGCGAGCCAUGACUGCCGACGUCCUUGGGGAUAUGGCACCUGGAUGAUGAUGAUGUUGAAUGAUCAAGCAGAGUUUGUCACCUAGGAAAGAGGAAGUACACUAAUUGACCGUAACAGCAGCUAUGACGGAUAAUUUUGACUCAGAGGCAAGAAGAGGCCGUCGGGGGCGGCAAUUCAAAGCCCUUGCGUAUCCCACUGCUUACGAAGACAAAUCAAGGAAGAUAAAUAGGAAAAAAGAAGACAAAGUCAUAGAAAACGGAAAACUGAAAGAAACCAGAAUUCGAAAAUUGCAGUUCAAAGAAAACGGGAAAUUUUAAGGAUAACGGAAAAAUAAUGUCCAUGAAACAAGUAAUUGGUUGAUUACUGAUUUCCGCAGAGCAUCAGUGUGGGAAACGAUGGCCUGACAGGUGCUACAAGAACCCUCAGAGGUCAGCAGAAGAGGCAGGAAUUCCUUGACCUCUAAAGAAUCGAAAAUUGACCUUGACCUGUAACCUUAAUGUUUUAAUGUUUACUCUAAAGCUGCAAUGUUAAAACUGCCUGUGAUAAUAUUAUGAAAAGAAAGAUUUCUUUUG